rnacentral:rRNA from 1 species
UACGAAGGGGGCUAGCGUUGUUCGGAAUCACUGGGCGUAAAGCGCACGCAGGCGGAUCGUUAAGUCAGGGGUGAAAUGCCGAGGCUCAACCUCGGAACUGCCUUUGAUACUGGCGAUCUAUGAGUCCGGGAGAGGUGAGUGGAACUCCGAGUGUAGAGGUGAAAUUCGUAGAUAUUCGGAAGAACACCAGUGGCGAAGGCGGCUCACUGGCCCGGUACUGACGCUCAGGUGCGAAAGCGUGGGGAGCAAACAGG